CCAGACUCCUACGGGAGGCAGCAGUGGGGAAUAUUGGGCAAUGGGCGCAAGCCUGACCCAGCAACGCCGCGUGAAGGAAGAAGGCCCUCGGGUUGUAAACUUCUUUUGUCAGGGACGAAGAAAGUGACGGUACCUGACGAAUAAGCCACGGCUAACUACGUGCCAGCAGCCGCGGUAAUACGUAGGGGGCAAGCGUUAUCCGGAUUUACUGGGUGUAAAGGGAGCGUAGGCGGUUCAGCAAGUCAGAAGUGAAAGCCCGGGGCUCAACUCCGGGACUGCUUUUGAAACUGUUGAACUAGAUUGCAGGAGAGGUAAGUGGAAUUCCUAGUGUAGCGGUGAAAUGCGUAGAUAUUGGGAGGAACACCAGUGGCGAAGGCGGCCUGCUGGACAUUAACUGACGCUGAGGCGCGAAAGCGUGGGGAGCAAACAGGAUUAGAUACCCCCGUAGC
rnacentral:rRNA from 1 species